AUUGAACGCUGGCGGCAUGCUUUACACAUGCAAGUCGGACGAGUGGCGCACGGGUGAGUAACGCAUCGGAACGUACCGAGUAAUGGGGGAUAACUGUCCGAAAGGACAGCUAAUACCGCAUAUUAUUCGCGCGGCCGAUGUCUGCUUAGCUGGUUGGUGGGGUAAAGGCCCACCAGGGCGACGAUCAGUAGCGGGUCUGAGAGGAUGCUCCGCAACAUUGGGAAUGAGACACGGACCAGACUCCUACGGGAGGCAGCAGUGGGGAAUAUUGCACAAUGGGCGCAAGCCUGAUGCAGCCAUGCCGCGUGUGUGAAGAAGGCCUUCGGGUUGUAAAGCACUUUCAGCGGGGAGGCGUUACCCGCAGAAGAAGCACCGGCUAACUCCGUGCCAGCAGCCGCGGUAAUAC
rnacentral:rRNA from 1 species